CAUAUCAAUAAGCGGAGGAAAAGAAACCAACAGGGAUUGCCUCAGUAACGGCGAGUGAAGCGGCAACAGCUCAAAUUUGAAAUCUGGCCUCACGGUCCGAGUUGUAAUUUGUAGAGGAUGUUUCGGGCACCGCCGCGGUGUAAAUUUCUUGGAACAGAAUGUCAGAGAGGGUGAGAAUCCCGUCUUCGACCGCGGUAGGACCCAUGUGAAACUCCUUCGACGAGUCGAGUUGUUUGGGAAUGCAGCUCAAAAUGGGUGGUAAAUUUCAUCUAAAGCUAAAUAUUGGCCAGAGACCGAUAGCGCACAAGUAGAGUGAUCGAAAGAUGAAAAGCACUUUGAAAAGAGAGUUAAACAGUAUGUGAAAUUGUUGAAAGGGAAGCGCUGGCAACCAGACUCGAGCGCGGUGGUUCCCCCCGGCUUCUGCCGGGGUUAUUCCACCGUGACCGGGCCAUCAUCAGUUUUGGGGGUCGGUCAAAGGCGCCGGGAAUGUACCCACUCCUUCGGGGGUGGACUUAUAGCCCGGCGUGUCAUGCGACCUCCCGGGACUGAGGAACGCGCUUCGGCGAGGAUGAUGGCGUAAUGGUUGUCAGCGACCCGUCUUGAAACACGGACCAAGGAGUCUAACAUCUAUGCGAGUGUUCGGGUGUCAAACCCUUGCGCGUAAUGAAAGUGAACGGAGGUAGGAAGGCUUGAGCCUGCACUAUCGACCGAUCCUGAUGUCUUCGGAUGGAUUUGAGUAAGAGCAUAGCUGUUGGGACCCGAAAGAUGGUGAACUAUGCGUGAAUAGGGUGAAGCCAGAGGAAACUCUGGUGGAGGCUCGCAGCGGUUCUGACGUGCAAAUCGAUCGUCAAAUUUGCGUAUAGGGGCGAAAGACUAAUCGAACCAUCUGGUAGCUGGUUCCUGCCGA
rnacentral:rRNA from 1 species